rnacentral:ncRNA from 1 species
ACAAUGAUACUUCCGUCCAGUCCCAGCUACAAACAAGGAGGGCGGCCGGCAGAGAUCCUGCCGGGGGUGAGAGUCCCAUGA